rnacentral:rRNA from 1 species
GACGAACGCUGGCGGCGUGCUUAACACAUGCAAGUCGAACGGAAAGGCCCUGCUUUUGUGGGGUGCUCGAGUGGCGAACGGGUGAGUAACACGUGAGUAACCUGCCCUUGACUUUGGGAUAACUUCAGGAAACUGGGGCUAAUACCGGAUAGGAGCUCCUGCUGCAUGGUGGGGGUUGGAAAGUUUCGGCGGUUGGGGAUGGACUCGCGGCUUAUCAGCUUGUUGGUGGGGUAGUGGCUUACCAAGGCUUUGACGGGUAGCCGGCCUGAGAGGGUGACCGGCCAUAUUGGGACUGAGAUACGGCCCAGACUCCUACGGGAGGCAGCAGUGGGGAAUAUUGCACAAUGGGCGGAAGCAUGAUGCAGCAACGCCGCGUGCGGGAUGACGGCCUUCGGGUUGUAAACCGCUUUCGCCUGUGACGAAGCGUGAGUGACGGUAAUGGGUAAAGAAGCACCGGCUAACUACGUG